rnacentral:misc_RNA from 1 species
GAAAUGCGAUAAGUAAUGUGAAUUGCAGAAUUCAGUGAAUCAUCGAAUCUUUGAACGCACCUUGCGCUCCUUGGUAUUCCUUGGAGCAUGCCUGUUUGAGUAUCAUGAAAUCUUCAAAGUAAAUCUUUUGUUAACUCAAUUGGUUUCUACUUUGGUAUUGGAGGUCUUUGCAGCUUCACACCUGCUCCUCUUUGUUCAUUAGCUGGAUCUCAGUGUUAUGCUUGGUUCCACUCGGCGUGAUAAGUUAUCUAUCUCUGAGGACACUGUAAAAGGUGGCCAAGGUAAAUGCAGAUGAACCGCUUCUAAUAGUCCAUUGACUUGGACAAUACUUUUAUGAUCUGAUCUCAAAUCAGGUAGGACUACCCGCUGAACUUAAGC